rnacentral:rRNA from 1 species
CCAACAGGGAUUGCCCCAGUAACGGCGAGUGAAGCGGCAACAGCUCAAAUUUGAAAUCUGGCCCCAGGCCCGAGUUGUAAUUUGCAGAGGAUGCUUUUGGCGCGGUGCCUUCCGAGUUCCCUGGAACGGGACGCCAUAGAGGGUGAGAGCCCCGUACGGUUGGACACCAAGUCUUUGUAAAGCUCCUUCGACGAGUCGAGUAGUUUGGGAAUGCUGCUCAAAAUGGGAGGUAUAUUUCUUCUAAAGCUAAAUAUUGGCCAGAGACCGAUAGCGCACAAGUAGAGUGAUCGAAAGAUGAAAAGCACUUUGAAAAGAGGGUUAAACAGCACGUGAAAUUGUUAAAAGGGAAGCGCUUAUGACCAGACUUGCGCCCGGUGAAUCACCCAGCUCUCGCGGCUGGGGCACUUUGCCGGCUCAGGCCAGCAUCAGCUCGCUGUCGGGGACAAAAGCUUCGGGAACGUAGCUCUCUUCGGGGAGUGUUAUAGCCCGUUGCACAAUACCCUUCGGCGGGCUGAGGUACGCGCUCCGCAAGGAUGCUGGCGUAAUGGUCAUCAGCGACCCGUCUUGAAACACGGACCAAGGAGUCAACCUUAUGUGCGAGUGUUUGGGUGUCAAACCCCUACGCGUAAUGAAAGUGAACGCAGGUGAGAGCUUCGGCGCAUCAUCGACCGAUCCUGAUGUUCUCGGAUGGAUUUGAGUAAGAGCAUAUAGGGUUGGACCCGAAAGAAGGUGAACUAUGCGUGUAUAGGGUGAAGCCAGAGGAAACUCUGGUGGAGGCUCGCAGCGGUUCUGACGUGCAAAUCGAUCGUCAAAUAUGCGCAUGGGGGCGAAAGACUAAUCGAACCUUCUAGUAGCUGGUUUCCGCCGAAGUUUCCCUCAGGAUAGCAGUGUUGAACUCAGUUUUAUGAGGUAAAGCGAAUGAUUAGGGACUCGGGGGCGCUAUAUUGCCUUC